UACAGAGGUCUCGAGCGUUGUUCGGAUUCAUUGGGCGUAAAGGGUGCGUAGGUGGCGCCGUAAGUCGGGUGUGAAAAUUUUCGGAGCUUAACUCCGAAAACUGCAUUCGAUACUGCGGUGCUUGAGGGACUGGAGAGGAGACUGGAAUUCAUGGUGUAGCAGUGAAAAUGCGUAGAGAUCAUGAGGAACACCAGUGGCGAAGGCGACUACCUGGCCUGUUCUUGACGCUGAGGCGCGAAAAGCUAGGGGGAGCAAAACGGG
rnacentral:rRNA from 1 species